rnacentral:rRNA from 1 species
UACAGAGGUCUCGAGCGUUAGGCGGAAUCACUGGGCUUAAAGCGUGUGUAGGUGGAUCGUUAAGUACCUUGUGAAAUCCCACGGCUUAACCGUGGAACUGCUGGGUAUACUGGUUGUCUUGAGCCAGCUAGGGGCGAGCGGAACAGACGGUGGAGCGGUGAAAUGCGUAGAUAUCGUCUGGAACGCCGAAGGUGAAAACAGCUCGCUGGGGCUGCGCUGACGCUGAGACACGAAAGCCAGGGGAGCGAACGGG